CUCUUUCUUUCUUUCUUUCUUUCUUUCUUUCUUUCUUUUUCUUUCCUUUCUUUCCUUUCUUUCUGGUUUUUCAAGCAGGGUUUCUCUGUGUAGCCCUAGCUGUUCUGGAACUUACUCUGUAAUUUUGAGGCUGGGGUGUCCCUUUCUCUUUUUAUUUGGGUUCUGAAGAUGGAACCAAGGUUGCCAGGUUUGCCCCGAAAGCCCCUGCCCCUCCAGCCCCGCCGCUCCCUGCUUCUUAGAAGAAUCUGACAACAUACUUGAAUCAUAAUUAAUAUUCUGGUCCUGGUUUCCUUAUGCUGUUUUCAGGUUUUGCAGUCUGCUAGGUCUCUUGUAAAUUUUUAACUUAAAUCAUUUUCUUUUGGGGGUGGGUGUUAAGUCUUACUGUGUAGUCCAAGCUGGCCUCCAGCUUGUGGUGACCCUCCUACUUUGACCUCUCUAGGACUGAUGGUGCUUCUCUUUGCUUUUAAGUUCCGUGAAAAGCCCUUGUCACCUGCUGCAGUACGAGCUCACCUGUAGAGACUUCUCCUGUGCGUUUGCUGGCCCAGUGGCACCUCCCGUGUGACUCACAGGUGCUGAGGGGCAUAAGUAGCUCUGACGUGAGUCAGCCACUUAGGCUUCACAGGCAGGCGUUUAUCCUCCUGUCCGUUUCCUUGAAGUGAGAGCCUGCAGGCUUGUAACUCAAGAAGCAAAGGAAACACUGUAACAUUUAAAAUGCUUUGCAGGUAGACCCGGCUGCUUUUGUGGUGGGCCUGCCCUUUGAUUUUGCCUCUUGUGACUAAGCCUAUUUUCCGAGGUCCCCGUGAAUCUCCAGAUAAGUUCCAUGAAGUUGGGUUUCCCCUAGCCAGUCUUCCUCUCAACUGUGUGGUGUCCUGGUAGGCAGGAGUAGGGGCUUCAUUUCUGAGGGAGCUACACACCCACAAUCUCCGUUCUGACGGGACAGCAUUGUUGGUGAAUGAGUCUGAGAGGGAGACCAUCAGAACCUGGCACAAAUCACUAGGGCUGAACUUACAGAGGGAAGAACGUGGCAGCCACCAUUGAAGGCUUAUGGCACUUGGCUGGAAAGACGACUGAAAAAGUCUUCGUUCGUUCACUCACUCACUCACUCACUCACUCACUCACUCACUCACGUCUGGCCAUUGUCUACUGGGCUCUAAGUGAGGUGGAUGUUUGAGCUCCUUGGUUCGUGUAGUCUUUCUAGCUGGAAAUAAAUGAUUUCCGAUGUUUUCCCUUUUUGUGGCAGGGUCUUACCCCAUAGAGCUGGCUGGCUUGGAACUCGCACAAAUCUGCCUGCUCCAGCUCUGGAGUGCUGGGUUUAAAAGCAUGUGCCACCAAGCCCCGCUUACUGCUUAUCUCUUGAGGCCCGGCUUUGUCCAUGUGCACAGAACACUGGAGAAUAAACACGGACGCGGUGGCUUUAAAACCGAAUGUCCUGGUUUGGCCAGUUGAAUUCAGCAUUUGAGAGUUAUGGGUUUUUAGAAACUCUGUUGUCUCUUCAUAACUUUGUGAAUUUAAAUCCUUAAAUGAAAAAGGGCUUAUUGAUCUGCAAGGAGCCUCAGGGUGAGUGUGGCCCUCCACCACUAGAGGGCAGCGUGGCCUUAGUCACAUGAUCCGAACCUGUCCGUUCCUGUGCCGGAAGCUUCUUCACUUCUGUAUUCCCUCAUAGGGGAUCACUAUAUGCAUGUACUUAUAAUGUGAACACGUGUAUUGGUAUUAAAUGACCUCCUGGGAUAGCUAAAUCGUUAGCUUUCUGAAAGGGUUUAGCAUACAGCUAUUCUUCUCAGUAUCAUGUUUGGUUCUAAGUUAGUCCUGAAGGAAGCCUUCAUACCAGGGCUCCUGGAUCUCCCCGAGCCCACAGGUUGGUGCCUCAGAACACCUCUCCCGUAUAUUUAUGUCUGGGGAAUCUUCGUACUGGGUUCUUAUGCCCUGUGGGGAUCUGUAACAGCAGUCUUCUCUUGGGAAAGGUGGGGGUUAAAUACAUGUUUGUUCUGUUGUGAUGGCCCCAAGCAUACAAACCCCACUUGUUUCCUGUACCUGGCAGGUGAGUAGAGAGAUGCGUUUCUCUCAAGAGAUAAUACUUUCUCCCUUUCCCAUGAAGGCACGGGCGUCCUUCAAGGGCUCGGGAUCUGGUUUUGUCCACAUUUCACAUCUUUACUGUAUAAAUUCCUGGAUGUCGAAUCGAUGUGUUGAAGUCUAAUCAUAAAGGUUCUUGCUGAUUACUACCAAAUCUAAUUUCCCAAGAGAGUGUAGGGAAGCACGUUUGACCCGACACAUAUUCCGGGAUUACACUCCCCACUUCAAUGGCUUUAUUUAUCUUCGUGGUAUUUUUAUAAUUACAAGCAUUUUUCUAAGUAGUGGAUCCUUUUAUUUCUACUUUGAAAGUACACUCCUAGUUGGUGAAGAGUAUCAGGAAAUGGCUCGGUGGUCAGGUAACCAUUUCAGAUGUGUGUUCUUUAUUCCUCUGCUGGGAAUGUGUGAGGCACAUGUGCAUGGUGAGGCCCCAAGGAUCGAGGCAAGAAGAAGAUCUGUUUAGCCUUUGCUUAGUCACAGGGUCCUUUUUAAGGGCGACGGCUGGUGGAAGCAGGACUGUGGUUUGCAAGGUGGGAAGAUGUCCUGGAAGUUUUGAGAAAGUAGUCUUUUAAGGCUGGUGACAUGGGUCAGCAGAAAAAGACUCAAGCUGCCAAGCCUGACCUUAACAUGGUGGUCGAGAACCAGCUUCUACUAGCUUCCAUCUCCAUAUGAAUAAAUGCAUGGAAUAAAACACCGUCAAGUGUCAUAAAAGUUCCUUCCGGAGUUGGUGGUCAUAUUUACGGAGCGGAGGGUCUGUGGUAGUGAGGUUACGUAGCAAAGCCUGAAGGAGAAGCGAGGCGGGCCUGAAGAGACAGACCCCAGGCAGAGCUUCUAGGAACUGGUUGGGAGCGGUCUGCCAAGGAUGCUCACCUUGUCGUCAGGCAGGGCACCACUGAGCCGUCUACUCUGCAGGAGAUGUGUUGGGAGUCUGCUCUCCACCUAUUUAAGGAUAAAUUUUACACUAUAGCGAGCUAUCAGAUACGCGGAGAAUGUUUAAGAUACUUAGGGCAGCCACACUCGGAAGACAUCCUGGAGGGAAGUUGUGAUGGGAACACCUCAGAGCACAGGUAAGGAAAUGGGGAUAUUCCUGGUCUUGCUGUUUAUCAGGGCUGUGAUCUUGAACAAAUCCAGCAUCAAACUUCUCUAAUACUAAGAAGAUGCUGUAAGUGGUUCACAUCGACUCCUCAUUCAGACAUGGAGUAAAGAGAAAAUGAAAGCAGUAAUCAGAACAUAGCAAAACACCCGUGAAGAAUGACAAGAUGAAAAGAUGUAUUUGUGUUUGUGUUUAUAUCACAUGCAUUUAUUUGGGGUGUGUGUAUAUGUGUGUAUGUGUAGGUGUGUAUGUAUGUGUAAUGUGUGUAUGUACAUGUAUGAUAGUUUGUCAGAGUUGCUUUUCUCCUUCCACUUGGAUCCUGGGCUUGAACUUGGGCUAUCAGUCCUGGUGGCAAGCGUCUCUACUGAAGUAGCCCUGAUGCCAGCCCUUUCAAACUUUUUUUUUAAGUUAAAAUCAUUUCUUGGGGUGGGACGAUAUCCCAGUGCCAAGCCUGAUGGUCAGUUCCUGGGACCAGGGAACAGAAUCCUGCAGUUUGCUGUCUGACCUUUAUAUGUGUAUACACAACCGAUAAACACUUCAACCUAUGAAAUUUUAAAAAAUUAAUGGUGGGCUGGAGAGGUGGCUCAGCGGUUAAGAGCACUGACUGCUCUUCCAGAGGUCCCGGGUUCAAUUCCCAGCAACCACGUGGUGGCUCACAACCAUCUGUAAUGAGAUCUGAUGCCCUCUUCUGAUGUGUCUGAAGGCAGCUACAAUGUACUCAUAUAUAAUAAAUAAAUAAAUCUUUAACAAAAAAUUAAAAGGUAUUCUUAGCUUGUUGAAUAUUAAAACAGAACUCCAAGACAAAGGCAGGUGGCUGGCUGGUUGAGUUUGGCCUCCCAGCCCUGCCUGCUGACAUAUGUCUACUUAAAAUACUUUUAUUGUAAGGACUGAACACAGUAGCAUAGGCCUGUGAUCUCUGAAUUUCAGUCUGGUGGUGUUAUGUAGUAAGCCUCUUCUCUAAAACACAGUACAAACUCAAAAGAAAGCACAGCAAAUGGCAGAGGGAGAAGUGUGCAGUCGUUUGAACGGAUUUUAAUUUAGUAGUAAAUAAUUUAGGAUGCUAUUUACACUGCCCGUGGGGAAAGGGGUCCUCUCAAGACACUGCCGUUUGGAAACGAGUGUAGCCACCGUGGAAAUCAGUGUGGAGGUUCCUCAAGAAUCGCUGAAAAUAGAACCGUAUGACUCAGCUGAACCAUUCUUGUGCAUAGGCUGGGAGGAAUCUAAGUCAGUGUGCCAACGACAUAGCAGCACAGGGCACGCAUCGUUCACAGCGGCCAAGAUACGACCGGGCAGCAGGUGAAUGGAUUAAAAGCUUUGGCAAAUAUGCUCAGUGGAUAUCCCCAGCACGUAUGCACAGAAUACUGUUCAGCUGUAAAGAGUGGAAUGCCAUUAGCAGGAGACUGAUGGAGCAGGAGAUCUGUUAAGCGAAAGACCCGAGGCGCAGAAAGACAAAGACCAGGUGUUUGGUCGGAAAGACGAAGACCAGGUGUUCGCUCCUACGUCUGCUCUACAUUUUAAACUGUAUAAAGGUCAUGGAAGGAGGCUGUGUGAGGAGAGAGAAGGGGCUAGAUGGAGGGGAGAGUGAGGGAUAAGAAAGGGGAGAAAAAUUGUGUGUGUGUGUGUGUGUGUGUCUGUGUGUCUGUGUGUCUGUGUCUGUGUCUGUGUCUGUACUCGAGUGUGCAAAAAAGGUGACUCUUUGGUAGGACAAAAGGAACCAUCAGCAGAUAAAGGGAGAGACAGAUCUAAACAGCCCCAUAGACACAUUAUUUUGUUCUUUAUUGCUAUUUAAAUUACACUUGAUAAGAGCUCCCAUUUCAUAGUAGCUGACAAUGUGGGCUCCAUUGUUGUGGUCAACAGUUGUGGACAAUAAAUAAACUCAUUACCUAGCUAUUAGCUCCUUAGAAUCUGAACUUUCGAGAACGAGAACGGCUUCUUCCUUUCCUCUGGCUGCAGCCGUCAGGUGUGCCUUUGGUUUGGGGGAAGAAGUGAAGCAAGCAGGUAAUGUUUUCACAGGACUGAAGCCUUGUGUGGUGUGGUUGGUACCCAUGACAGCAGUCGCCCCUUACCUCCAGGCUGUGGAAUGAGUAAGUAUGAGCAUGGAAAUUCCUGAUGGGUAGGAAUUUCACCCUAGAGAACUCAGUUGCCAUCACAGUCUCGUUGUCUGUCUAGAAAACCAGAACCAGCGUGCCUUCUCCGUUGUCAGGUUCCGCAGGACCUCUAUAGUCAGUGAGCUUAAGCUAAGGAUGGAACCAGGGACUGGCAGUGACUUUGUGGUUGAGGCCCCUACGUGGGAUGUGUCUGAGGAAGCAUGGCUCUGCUUCCCCAGUCUCCCGGCACCUCUCCGUGCUCUCCGUGCUUUCCUGCCUUUGGACGAGUCUUCUCCAUGGGUCCCUAUCCUUCAGGCGCUCACACAUCAGCAUCUAGCACACUGAAAAGAGGGCAGAGAGCACACAGGGAGAGAGUGGUCAGAGCCUGAGCAGGGGAGGCGGCCUGUGGCCUCGCAGCACUCACGCACCUCCGCUGGCCUCUGCUCGCUGCUUCUCACCGGUGUCCACUGGAUGCUGCUCUCAUGGCUGCCGUAUAUGUAAGUACACGGUACACUGUCCUUGUCUUCAGACACGCCGGAAGAUCGGGUUCCAUUACAGAUGGCUGUGAGCCACCAUGUGGUUGCUGGGAUUUGAACUCAGGGCCUCUGCAAGAGCAGUCAGUGCUCUUAACCUCUGAGCCAUCCCUCCAGCCCUCAUUGCUGCUGUAUAAACUGGGCUUUACUGAUCCAAAGAACAUGUGUCUUAAUUUAGUUUGUGUGUAUCACUAAAUAUAUAGCUGGAUGGGAGGGGAGGGGAGGAAGCCUGUGUAUAGAACAGAAGUUAGGGCAAAUCAAUGCUUUGGCGGCUUUGGGCCAAAAAAAACCCUAAAACUUUAAAGUGUGCUUUCUAUUCUGAGGCUAUUGCCAGAUGUUUUGUGCUGAUGUUUAUUCCUCAGUCAUGAGAAGGUAGGAGGGGCCGGGCAUCGCACUAUCUCUCACAAAAUAUUAAUUUGGAAUUGAGUUUAAAAUUAGCAAGAGGAAGGAGGAAGGGGUAAGAAAUAAAUCACUGGACUCAAGUGAUUUGGAAGCCAAAUAGUAGACACCUCAUGGUGGGAGGGAGACAUACAUAGUUUCUACUCUUACAGCCACACGGUCUCCCAGCAAGGCUAAGGCCGAGCACAGUGAAAGCUGUCAAGUCGAACCCUCAGUGACUUGUCACAGGUCAUCCCCGUGCAGGCCGGAAUCUGAGUCAGUAUGGCUUGUGACUAAUGGCUCGUCAUAGUGUCAGCUGCUGCAUCGUAACGUAACGACACAACGGAGAGACGGUCAGUGCCUAUUUUUAGGGAUCUCCCUUCUGGGAAUCAUGGUGAACAUAGUCUGCAGAAAACCACUUCCAGGCCUGGGCGGAAGUCUCCUCCCAAGACAGAACCCCCUCCUGGCGAACUGCUGGUGCUCUGAGAUCACACUGUCUAGCGCUUGAGGUCUGAGUUGUUCAAGAGGCGCGGGUGUUUGUAAACCUGAGUGAAACAGCCAGGUUCCGGGUGUGAAGCCAGCACAGCAGAAGUUGCUGCAGAUGUGAAUGGAGACCUGACAUGCUUGUGCCUUUGUCUGAAAGUCUACUUUGCACCCAGGGUGUCCAGUAAGUCAGGCACCGGAGCCAAGGCCCUCCUUAGAGUCCUUACCGCUUAGAGGCUUCCUCUUAGCACCCUGCAUUGAGAGAAGUCCGAAGUGUGCCAAGAUACCAACGAUGAUGUUAGAGUGCGUGACAUGGAUGUCUGUGUGCGGAGUCGAGGACAGGUUUCAGGAAUUGCCUCUCCUCCCACCAGAUAGAUGUUGGAGAUCAAAAUCAGGUCGCUGGACAUGUCAGCAAGCACCUUUACCCGCUGAGCUAUCUUGCCAUGAACUGUUUUGAGAAAAUAGCUUUUGUGUGUCUUAAACGACCCCAUCACCCCAUCGCUUCCCUCAGUGUCCUGCAUUCUCCUAGAGCAAUAGCUAGUGUAGACAGGUAUGACUUUAUCUGAUCGCAUCCGGCUCUGACAUAGAAGACCUUGGCGAUGGCCACACCUCUUUCAAGGGUUGACCUAUAUUCAGAUACUCUCAGCUCAGUUUCAGAUAUAGUAUUCCCCAUAUUUGUAUCUCAAAAAAAGUCUCUUGUGAGACAGGGUCUCAUCACUAUUGAGCCCUUGCUGGCCUGGAACUUGCUGUUGUACAUCAGGUUGGCCUCAUUCACAGAGAUCCACCUGCAUCUGCCUCCCAAGUGCUAGGAUUACAUUGUAUCUCAAAAUUUAACACCCCUAUGUGCGACCCAAUAAAACCUCUCUCCAAAAACCCCUUACUUUUCUUUGUAUGAGUGGAGGUGCAGAUACAGUAGCGUGUUUUAAACCUCUGGAUUGAAUACAGGAAGUGUUACUCUGCUAAACUGAAACAGAAGUGUCAUACACUAGAGUUCACAUCCAAGUGGAAGCAUUUUUGCUACAGUGGAAAAUGGGUUGGAUGUUUAGCAUUGGAACAAACAAAGAACACCCAGACCUUGCUUUCAGAGAUGGCAGAAAGGGAACCAAGCCAUUUCUAAGUUCCUUUUCACUGUGGUCAGAUAUUAACAAGCUGCGAGGAGAUUAUGAGGUUGAAAUCAGUGGAGAAAUUUGAACACUGAUACAUAUAAAGGAGCCUCUUUUAGUUCUUUAAUUAGUAGUAAUGAGUAACUGGAAAUAUUUUGGGGGGCUGGGAGGUAACUCUGUGGUUAAGACUGUCUACUUCCACAGGACCUUAGUUCAGUUCCCAGCACCAGUGUUAGUAAGCUCACAACCACCCAAAAGUCCAGGCGCCCCCUUCUGGCUUCUGAGGGCAGUGCACUCAUGCGCACAGACACCCACAACACAUUAUUUUAAAAUGAAAUAAACAUCUUUAAAAAUAUUUACCGUUUAAUAAGACAGACUGACAUACUUCUAAGUAAAAUACUACAAAAAAAUCUGGUUUACCCACUGGCAUGUUCUACUUCUUGACACCACCCUGUGCAGAGUUCACAUGUGAGAACCAUUCAGUCAAGUUACCAAACAAAAACAAAAAAGGCUUUGUAGUGUUUUCCUUACAUCUAUGGUUUGGUUGGGCCACAUCCAUGGUUAUCUGGGGCGUAUGUGGCUUGUGGACCACAGGUUAGGCAUGCCUGUGUGGGCUAGGGGAUAGAUAUAUGAUGUAAAAUUGCCUAGGGUGAUUAAUUGUUCUCUGUUUUAUAUGAGUUAGGACAUUUACGGAAAGAUUUUAGGAUUACAUUGUCAGUACAGAAAGACUCUCACAUCUCUUGCCCAUGAGAAACACUGCUAUUGCAGCCCUUAUCUCAUUGCCGACUUACUGGUGGCUCCUGAGAGACUGGCAGCCCAGGUAUGGCCUCCAAGUUACUUGUGAAAGUGUGGCAUUCUAGGAGAUGACUGCAUGGGAUUAUGGGAGGGAAACUUCUCUGCAGAAGCCGGAGGGCAGGGCAGGGCGGCCUUAUCCCUUCAGGGUUUGCCUAUGACAGUUUCUUGUCUCUCUGCUCUUGGUGUGCACUGGUUGAGUUUUAUCUGCUUGACUGGAAGAGAUCUCCCCUUCCCCCCAAAAAAAGCAUAAUGUUUUUACUGAUUAUUUGGGAAUUUCACAAAACACACCAUGAUCACACUUCCUAGUCCUCCUAGGUCCCACCCAAGCCUUUAUGACACCCUC